CAGUCGCCGCGGUAAUACGUAGGGCGCAAGCGUUAUCCGGAAUUAUUGGGCGUAAAGAGCUCGUAGGCGGUUUGUCGCGUCUGCCGUGAAAGUCCGGGGCUCAACCCCGGAUCUGCGGCGGGUACGGGCAGACUAGAGUGAUGUAGGGGAGACUGGAAUUCCUGGUGUAGCGGUGAAAUGCGCAGAUAUCAGGAGGAACACCGAUGGCGAAGGCAGGUCUCUGGGCAUUAACUGACGCUGAGGAGCGAAAGCAUGGGGAGCGAACAGGAUUAGAUACCCCGGUAGUCCCUGUCUCUUAUAA
rnacentral:rRNA from 1 species